UCCCAGUGCUUUUUANAUAGCUGACAGUGC
rnacentral:piRNA from 1 species